AGUGAACGCUGGCGGUAGGCCUAACACAUGCAAGUCGAACGGCAGCACAGUAAGAGCUUGCUCUUACGGGUGGCGAGUGGCGGACGGGUGAGGAAUACAUCGGAAUCUACUUUUUCGUGGGGGAUAACGUAGGGAAACUUACGCUACUACCGCAUACGAUCUACGGGUGAAAGCAGGGGAUCUUCGGACCUUGCGCGAUUGAAUGAGCCGAUGUCGGAUUAGCUAGUUGGCGGGGUAAAGGCCCACCAAGGCAACGCUCCGUAGCUGGUCUGAGCGGAUGAUCAGCCAAACUGGAACUUAGACACGGUCCAGACUCCUAAGGGAGGCAGCAGUGGGGAAUAUUGGACCAUGGGCGCAAGCCUUAUCCAGCCAUACCGCGUGGGUGAAGAAGGCCUUCGGGUUGUAAAGCCCUUUUGUUGGGAAAGAAAAGCAGCAGGUUAAUACCCCGCUGUUCUGACGGUACCCAAAGAAUAAGCACCGGCUAACUUCGUG
rnacentral:rRNA from 1 species